CCAAGGUAUUCUAAACAUGGAAUUUCUCUAGCUUGAGUGUGAGAGAUAUGCUUGGUUAGGUUUUCUUGUCUCUCUUUCCUAGCUCUCCUAGGGAAUUGUUGAUGAUAUUCAUUUUUCCUAAGACUUUCUUCCCCAAGAUAAUCAUGAUGUUUAGAGCUAGAUGCAUGAGAAUGUAAUUUUUUUGAAAAUUGAGACUUCUCAUUCUUUGCUUUAGUCAAUUCAUUAGUUUUGAUCUCAUUCUCCAAUUGUUUAGAUGAAAUGGAUUGAAUAUCCUUAGUAAGUUGCUUCAAAAGAGAUUUCAAGGAUUUCACCUCACUUUUAAGAGAUUUAGAGGAGUGAGAAGACAUGACUAAAACUUUGUGUGUAGAAGUAUUUUACCUUGAGAAAAAUUUAGGGAAGUCAAAGAAGGUAGUCUUCCAGGUAAGGGAGGUGAGUCACAGUGGACUACUUAAAUACCAAGCCUUUGCCUUAGCCAAAAACUAUCCCUCAAUGUCUUCACACAAAGCUUUCUCUUAGUAAACCACUUGGAACACAAUUAAGUUGAGAAAUCAGAUUUUAAUGCAAGAAAACAAUGCAUGCUAACUAAUUAACAAAGCUAGACGGUUUUUAACAAAACUUAAACAAAAUUAAACAUGCAAAACGUAUCUAUGAAAGCAAAAGAAAAGCAAUUACAAACAAGCAACAAAUUACUAAGCAAAAUAACUAUGCUAUUCGGCCCUAGGUGAGGCUUCUUGGACACUUUGAGCCCUCGAAGACACACUCACCGUCUAAAACGUAAUUUAAAAGAGGUAAUUAACAAUAAUCCAAGUUGUAAAGGAGAUAAGAAAACUCCCUUUGUUGUUCCUCUUUUUGGUUAGUGCACUUUCUUUGUUGUCUUGAUUGUUGAUCUUCUAGGUGUUUGUAGUGUUUGUUUCAAGAAACUUGUUUCGGCCUUAGCUUGACUCCUCCUUAGAAAGUUGGCUUUAAUUCUCCAAUUUCCAGCACCUAUUCACAAGGGCUUAGCCUUAAAUCAAGUCAAUUUCCAUGCACAUAAGCACCAAGAGAGAAUUAAUUUCCAGCACCCAUAAAAGAGAGGUCAAGAAACAAAAGCAAGAAACAAAUUUAAUUGAAAGAAAACAGUACCACCAAAAGGAUUUAUAAUAUGACAACUUAGAAAGAGAUUCAAGGAAUUAAAGCAAACAAUUAAAGGUACUCAAUAAAAGUUGGCACACAAAAGGAAUUCCUAAAGAAAAGCACUAGAUUAGAUGACCAAAUAAAAAAAACAGCACCACUGGAAAAUGUUGUGGGCCAGAAAACAGUUUUGUUCCCCGAUUUAUGCUGAGCUGUAAUUGUAAAAUUUGUUUCUGAAAUUUGGAUACAAGAAAAUUCAGGAUCUUAGCUAAAUUUUGGCUUUGGAAUCACCUAAAACGCAUGCACCAUUUUUUUUUAAUAAUUUUUGCAAAUUUGGUGUGCAGUUAGGCCAG
rnacentral:lncRNA from 1 species